GUAGGUGGCAAGCGUUGUCCGGAUUUAUUGGGUUUAAAGGGUGCGUAGGCGGCUUUGUAAGUCAGUGGUGAAAUAUGGCAGCUCAACUGUCAGGGUGCCAUUGAUACUGCGGAGCUUGAGUACAGAUGAGGUAGGCGGAAUUGACGGUGUAGCGGUGAAAUGCUUAGAUAUCGUCAAGAACACCGAUAGCGAAGGCAGCUUACUGGGCUGUAACUGACGCUGAGGCACGAAAGUGUGGGGAUCAAACAGGAUUAGAUACCCUGGUAGUCCACACUGUAAACGUUGAUGACUCGCUGUUGGCGAUACACGGCCAGCGGCAGAGAGAAAUCGUUAAGUCAUCCACCUGGGGAGUACGCCGGCAACGGUG
rnacentral:rRNA from 1 species